rnacentral:lncRNA from 1 species
GGCGGAUCGUGGUGGCUGCGCUUGCGAGGACCCUGAGGUAGAUUGGGUGGUUUCAACAGGAACGCAUCCACUGUCUGAGAGUUUAAACUUGAUUUUGUGAGGGGACGAACAGCGUGACAAUUAAAAGAAGAUCUGGGAAUCAAAAGCUUCCUGAGGCCUUCACCAGAAGCAGAUGCUGGUGCCGUGCUUCUACAGCCUGCAGAACUGAAGGACUUUACAGCUUCUCUUUCGCAUAUCCAAAUUGCCAGCAUCACCGCUCUUGCACUCCAAGCCAUUAUUAAGUAAAGUAAAGAACACAAACACUGUGAUACUGCUACACUUGAUCUGAUAACCAAGAAGUCUACUAAGUGACUAACAGUUAAUAUUUUUGGACAUGAGGUGACUGCAGUUAACUAAAACCAUGGAAAGCAAACCCAUAGAUAAAGGGAUACUAUGCAGAGCAACUGGGAACCUAAUUCUGACCAAAAAGGAGGAAUUGUUUGGCUAAUUGGAAGUGACAGAAACCUUGGGAGAAAGCAACCGCAUACCAAGGAUAAUUAUAAGAAGAAGAGAAGACAUGGAGAAGAGGAGGGAGUAGUUGUGACCGUGGAGGCAGAGAAUGGAGUAAUGUGAUCAUAAAUCAAGGAAUGCUGACAGCCACUAAAGCUGGAGAAGGCCAAGGACAGAUAUUCAAUCCUCCCGUAGAAGUACAGCCCUGCUAAUGCAUUGAUUUUGGACUUCUGGCCUCAGAACUGUAAGAGAAUAAAUUUCUAUUGUUUUAA